UUUUGCAAGCUGCAGGCAAUUGUCUGUAGAAACCAUGCUCCAAACACAGCGAGCACAGAGGCCUCCUCAGAGACCACCAUGAACGGAGCCAAUAAAAGAGAAUGCCAAAGGAAACAUUUGUAUUACAGUCCAGGAGGAACCAGACCUCGGUUUUAUCAGUCUCCUCAGUCUUCCAUGAUGGAAACCUCUAAAUCUGCUCAUCAUUAAGUCAAGGUCAAGGCCCAUGCAACAGUCAAAUCUCACUGAAGUGUAUCCUGAUCAAAGACCCAGGGACAGCAUUUCAGCUCACUGUGGGAGAUACACUGAGAAAAGCCACGCAACAAGUCUCAUACUGAGAUGUCCAAUGCUGAUGACGCUGACAUAGGAAUCCAUCCUUGAUCCCACCGGGCUCCAAGCACACGUGUGAAAUGCACCCAGGGCUGCAGAACUGCAGCGUCAGAGAUCCACAGAUGUUUCGCCUGCACCAUAUGGUGCGUUCCCCACCGUUCCCCUCAGAGCGGCUUCUUGCGCUGAAAGUCAAUGUUUUUCCCACACAUGGGAAAACCAAAUGGAGUGGCUAUAAAAGGAAAAAAGGGAGAACAAAACACCAACAAAUCAGAGAAAACUGGUCUGAAAACCCAACCCAUAAAGAGAGUAAGUAGACUUGGCUAACACUGGGCACACCAGUGUAAAAUGGUGGGUGCACACGCUUCAGUGUGCCCUGUGAAUUUAAAGCAGGAAUUAAGAUUACAUUAGAUGAUAUGCUAAGUUGUAUCCCAGCCACAUACUAUUGUCAGCUUGUACUCCAGCAUUCAGGCACUUAACUGCAGAGGACUCUGGAGAAAUGGCUUUUUAUAACUGCCUGUGUUUUGUCAGAAGUAUGGAAU